UACGUAGGGUGCAAGCGUUGUCCGGAAUUAUUGGGCGUAAAGAGCUCGUAGGUGGUUCGGUAAGUCGGAUGUGAAAUCUCCAGGCUCAACCUGGAGGGGUCAUUCGAUACUGCCGUGACUAGAGGUCGGUAGGGGAGUGUGGAAUUCCUGGUGGAGCGGUGAAAUGCGCAGAUAUCAGGAGGAACACCGGUGGUGUAGACGGCUCACUGGACCGUAACUGACGCUGAGACACGAAAGCGUGGGUAGCAAACAGG
rnacentral:rRNA from 1 species